rnacentral:rRNA from 1 species
GCGGUGUCGCGUAUAGUCGAGACUGUCCGGUGUCGUCAAUGUCCGAAGUUUGCUGGAAAGCUUCUUCCCAAUGAGGGUGUCAGGCCCGUUCGGAUUGCGAUGAUGCUGGUUGGAAUUGACUUGGAGUAGAGUUGCUUGGAAGUGCAGCUCGAAUUGGGUGUUAUACCACAUCCAAGGCUAAAUAUGACCACGAAACCGAUAGCGAACAAGUACCGUGAGGGAAAGUUGCAAAGAACUUUGAAGAGAGAGUUCAAGAGGACGUGAAACUCGUAGUGGCGAAGCAGAUAGCGUUGACGUGCCCAGCUGGAUCAGUGUUUGCAUUCUGCGGUGUUAUCUUGUGUGCUCUGCCGUGUCGCAGACACCGUUUGUGUGAUGCCGUGGUUUGCGAUCAAGUUAUUCAUGCUAGGCAAGCCGAACUAUCCGGGAACUCCUUCGGAACUCGUAGAUGUGGCCCACUUGUGGUUACCUGUCUGCGGGUGAUGUUGAUGCUGAUCCUGGAUGGCGGAAACGGCCUCGCCUUUGCGCUUAAUGUGUGUGUGCUUGUAUGUUGCUGGGAUUUUACUGGUCGAGCUGCUAUGUUCGUACCAGGGCAGCUACAGGUGCGCAUGCGUGAUGCGUAGGCUUGGCUUCGGUGUUCUUGAAGUCAACCACCUAUCUGUCCCGUCUUGAAACACGGACCAAGAAGUCUAGUAAGUAUGCGAGUCAUUGGGUGUUCAAAACCCAUUGGCGUAAUGAAAGUGAAGGCUUGCUUGUCAAGCUUAUAUGUGAUCCGUAGCUUGCUGCGGCGCAACAUAGCCCCAUGUUAGCUGCUUGCAGCGAUGUGGAGGUAGAGCAUACUUACUGGGACCCGAAAGAUGGUGAACUAUGCCCGAGCAGGACGAAGCCAGAGGAAACUCUGGUGGAAGUCCGAAGCGGUUCUGACGUGCAAAUCGAUCGCCAGACUCGGGUAUAGGGGCGAAAGACUAAUCGAACCAUCUAGUAGCUGGUUCCCUCCGAAGUUUCCCCCAGGAUAGCUGGAGCUCAGGGUUUGAUAUACCCUGUAAAGUUAAUGAUUAGAGGAAUUGGGGGCGAAAUGCUCUCAACCUAUUAUCAAACUUUCAAUGGGUAUGAAGCUGCGGUUGCUUAAUUGAACUGUGGCAUUGAUAACGAGCUCCAAGUGGGCCAUUUUUGGUAAGCAGAACUGGCGAUGCGGGAUGAACCGAACGUUGGGUUAAGGUGCCAAACUUCUCGUUCAUGAGACCCCAGGAAAGGUGUUAGUUGAUAUUGACAGCAGGACGGUGACCAUGGAAGUCGGUACCCGCUAAGGAGUGUGUAACAACUCACCUGCCGAAUCAACUAGCCCUGAAAAUGGAUGGCGCUUGAACGAGAGACCUAUACCCAACCGUUGUUAGCUUGUACGGACGGUACCGUCUGGCUUCAACGUGUAGGAGGGUGCGGCGGUGUGCGUUGAAGGCUUAGGGCGUGAGCCCAGCUGGAGCCGCCGUCGGUACAGAUCUUGGUGGUAGUAGCAAAUAUCCAUUUAAGAAUCAUGGAAACUGAAGUGGAAAAGGGUUCCGCGAGAACAGUUGUUGUUCGCGGGUUAGUCGACCCUAAGGUACUGGCGAAAGCCUUGUAUCAUGGAGAUUGAAGAUUACUUCUCUCUCUAACCACCGAAAGGGAACCGGGUUAAUAUUCCCGGACCGAGAGAACGACUUGGUGCUCGUUAAGGGUACCCAAGGCGGUAACGCCAUCGAACUCGGCUCUGCUGAGUAAUGCCCAGGCUAGAGAUCUCUUCUCUAGUUGAGGAACGGACCCCCUUGAAUUGGCCUAGCCAGAGAAAGGGGCGUUGUUUCCGUAAAGCACCGCGGUUUCUGUGGUGUCCUGUGUGCAUUACUCGGCCCUUGAAACGCCGGGGGAGUAGAUAGUCGUUCCUCGAUCGUACCCAUAUCCGCAGCAGGUUUCCAAGGUUCGCAGCCUCUAGUUGAUAGAAUAAUGUAGAUAAGGGAAGUCGGCAAAAUUGAACCGUACCUUCGGAAAAAGGUUUGGCUCUGAGGGCUGAGUCGUUCGGGCUCUGCAAUGAAGCUUGUGUGACUAUGGCUUGGUUGGGCGUGGCUUCGGCUGCACCUGACUUAUGUCAUGGUUGUCUUGUGGACUUGCUUAGCUGUGUGCAUGCGUCUUCGGGCGUGUGUGCUUCGGGCGACGGUUAACAGCCAACUCAGAACUGGUACGGACUAAGGGAAUCCGACUGUCUAAUUAAAACAGAGGAGAUAGAUGGUCCUUGCGGACGCUGACUAUCUCUGAUUUCUGCCCAGUGCUCUGAAUGUUAAAGUGAAGUAAUUUGCUUAAGCGCGGGUAAACGGCGGGAGUAACUAUGACUCUCUUAAGGUAGCCAAAUGCCUCGUCAUCUAAUUAGUGACGCGCAUGAAUGGAUUAACGAGAUUCCCACUGUCCCUAUCUACUAUCUAGCGAAACCACAGCCAAGGGAACGGGCUUGGCAAAUACAGCGGGGAAAGAAGACCCUGUUGAGCUUGACUCUAGUUUGACUCUGUGACGAGUCUUGAGAGGUGUAGUAUAAGUGGGAGGCUUCGGCCGAAAUUGAAAUACCACUACUUUCAUUGAUUCUUUACUUAUUCGGUAAGACGAGGAUUGAGCCUUCGCGGCUCUUCCUUCGCGUGUUAAGCGGCUUUACUUGGUAUUGUUGCGACUCGGACCGAAGACAGUGUCAGACCGGGAGUUUGACUGGGGCGGUACAUCUAUCAAACUGUAACGUAGGUGUCCUAAGGCGUGCUCAGAGAGGACGGAAACCUCUCGUAGAGUAAAAGGGCAAAAGCCCGCUUGAUCUUGAUUUUCAGUACUAAUACAGACCGCGAAAGCGUGGCCUAUCGAUCCUUAAAACCUUGAUGGUUUCAAGUUUGAGGUGUCAGAAAAGUUACCACAGGGAUAACUGGCUUGUGGCAGCCAAGCGUCCAUAGCGACGUUGCUUUUUGAUCCUUCGAUGUCGGCUCUUCCUAUCAUUGCGAAGCAGAAUUCGCCAAGCGUUGGAUUGUUCACCCACUAAUAGGGAACGUGAGCUGGGUUUAGACCGUCGUGAGACAGGUUAGUUUUACCCUACUGUAGACAUGUCGUUAAGACAGUAAUCUUAUUCAGUACGAGAGGAACCGUAAGUUCAGACAAUUGGUUCAUGCGGCUAGCCGAUAGGCUAAUGCUGCGAAGCUACCAUCUGCGGGAUUAUGACUGAAAGCCUCUAAGUCAGAAUCCCAUCUGGUCAAGUUACCGAUAACAUUGCUUCCCGGUGUCGGGAGGCACUCUUAAGUGACUAUCAUGUCACUGCUUAUGCCCUAAUCAUGACCUUGCCUACCCGGGGAAUCUGGGUAGGUUGUCGCAGCCGGAUCACUCUGGUUCAAUGUCGGGGCGCAAGAUCGCUUGCAUACGACU